CCCAUGGCUCAGAUUGAACGCUGGCGGCAGGCCUAACACAUGCAAGUCGAGCGGAUGAAGAGAGCUUGCUCUCUGAUUCAGCGGCGGACGGGUGAGUAAUGCCUAGGAAUCUGCCUGGUAGUGGGGGACAACGUUUCGAAAGGAACGCUAAUACCGCAUACGUCCUACGGGAGAAAGCAGGGGACCUUCGGGCCUUGCGCUAUCAGAUGAGCCUAGGUCGGAUUAGCUAGUUGGUGAGGUAAUGGCUCACCAAGGCGACGAUCCGUAACUGGUCUGAGAGGAUGAUCAGUCACACUGGAACUGAGACACGGUCCAGACUCCUACGGGAGGCAGCAGUGGGGAAUAUUGGACAAUGGGCGAAAGCCUGAUCCAGCCAUGCCGCGUGUGUGAAGAAGGUCUUCGGAUUGUAAAGCACUUUAAGUUGGGAGGAAGGGUUGUAGAUUAAUACUCUGCAAUUUUGACGUUACCGACAGAAUAAGCACCGGC
rnacentral:rRNA from 1 species